rnacentral:misc_RNA from 1 species
CCGAGUUUACAACUCCCAAACCCCUGUGAACCAUACCUCAAGUUGCUUCGGCGGCAGCGCCCCGGCGCCCUCGGGCCCGGGUCAAGGCGCCCGCCGGAGGACCCCAAACCAUUGUGUAUCAAUUGAAUCUUCUGAGUGGCACAAGCAAAUAAAUCA